rnacentral:misc_RNA from 1 species
GUGAAUCAUCGAAUUUUUGAACGCAAAUUGCACUCUCUUCGGAGAGUAUGCCUGUUUGAGGGUCAGUCUAAAAAAAAUCGACGUUGUUGCUUUUUCGUGGUGACAUUCGUUGGCUAUCGUGUCAUCUUAAACCUUGGUGUAUUUUAAUCUGCUUAAAAUUUUCUUUACGUUUUCACUUAUGUUUAUAAGAUUUUACUUCUUACACACGUUUAAUGUUUCGAUCUUUAUUAGAUGUGUCCGUUUCAUCUGAUCGCGUCCAUAAAUAUUUCGUUAACUUCCCUCAUACAGCUAGUAACACCA